UAGCCUAGUGGUUAAGGCUAUGGAUCGCCAAUCCGGAAAUGGCGGGUUCGAUUCCCGU
rnacentral:tRNA from 1 species